rnacentral:ncRNA from 1 species
GGGUUCAGCCGCUAGGCUGGAGGGAUUCAGGAUGGUCGGGCCGCCAUUC